CUGCUCGCUUCAGCAGCACGUAUACUAAAAUAGGAAUGAUACAGAGAAGAUUAGCAUGGCCCCCACACAAGGAUGACAUGAAAAUUCGUGAAGUGUUCCAUAUUAUU
rnacentral:snRNA from 1 species